rnacentral:snRNA from 1 species
GUGCUUGCUUUAGCAGCUCACGUACUAUAACUGAAAUGAUACAGACAAGACUAGCAUGGGCCUGCAUAAGGACACCCAAAUUUGUGAAGUAGUCUGUAUUUUU